GGACUGCGGAUGUUACAACUGUAGAAUGGCGAACUAAUAAACAAACUGGUGCAUCUCGUUGUUCCGCUUAUUGCUUUCGUUUUAUUUAGAUUUUUGGAAAAUACUAUCGGAUUUAAUCAUUUAUUUUCAACGACGUGACUAUACGCUGUUGCUGCGAUCCUUUUUAUGAAUGUGGUACUGAUAGCUUUGGCUAGCGCUAUCUAAGUAGCUAGCUUGCUAGCUUUGUUUUUUUUUUUCCCCCAGUUGCGGGCUCACGGAGAUGAGGGGUUGAGAGAUGGCGUGCAGGAAAAGGUGAAGACAUCACCUUAAUUGUAGCCGAUUCAAAUUUAAAGUUGGAAUCGAGUGUUCCAGUAAGUCGAACCUUUACAGUUCGACUCUAUUCGGAACAUUGAAGCUCUUCACAACGUGGUUGUCAUGGCUUGGGCUCUGAAAUUACCUCUUGCCGAUGAGGUUAUCGAAUCGGGUCUGGUCCAGGACUUUGAUGCAAGUCUCUCCGGGAUCGGACAGGAGCUUGGAGCCGGGGCGUACAGCAUGAGCGAUGUGCUGGCCCUCCCCAUUUUCAAGCAGGAAGAGUCCAACCUGCCUCCUGACAACGAGAAUAAGAUUCUGCCCUUCCAGUAUGUGCUGUGUGCUGCCACCUCUCCUGCUGUUAAGCUGCAUGAUGAGACCCUAACCUACCUCAACCAAGGACAGUCCUAUGAAAUUCGAAUGCUGGACAAUCGGAAAAUAGGAGAACUGCCGGAAAUUACGGGCAAGAUGGUGAAGAGCAUCAUCCGCGUGGUGUUUCACGAUCGACGGCUACAGUACACUGAGCACCAGCAGCUGGAGGGCUGGCGCUGGAACCGGCCGGGCGACCGCAUCCUUGACCUGGAUAUCCCCAUGUCUGUGGGCAUGGUGGACCCCAGGGCUAACCCCACACAGCUCAACACUGUGGAGUUCCUGUGGGACCCCUCGAAGAGGACCUCCGUCUUCAUCCAGGUACACUGCAUCAGCACAGAGUUCACCAUGCGCAAGCACGGGGGCGAGAAAGGCGUGCCCUUCCGCAUCCAGAUCGACACCUUCAAGGAGAACGAGGCGGGCGAGUACACCGAGCACCUGCACUCGGCCAGCUGCCAGGUCAAAGUCUUCAAGCCCAAGGGGGCCGACAGGAAGCAGAAAACGGAUCGGGAGAAGAUGGAGAAGAGGGCACCGCAGGAGAAGGAGAAGUACCAGCCCUCCUACGAGACCACCAUCUUGACAGAGUGUUCUCCUUGGCCAGAAGUCACUUACGUGAACAACUCCCCCUCCCCUGGCUUCAACAGCAGCCACAACAGUUUCACGGUGUCAGAAGGCAAUGGCUCGCCCAAUCACCAGCCGGAGCCCGUGGUGCAGGUGGCAGAUUUGUCGUGCCAUCUACUUCGAAGAGACACUGAAAGCCCUCAGAAUCUGCUGCCUACGGCAACACCUCAGGAAGCUCAGCAGUGGCUCCAUAGAAACCGAUUCUCACCAUUUUGCAGGCUCUUCACCAAUUUCUCAGGGGCAGACCUGCUGAAACUGACCAGGGAGGACGUCAUUCAAAUCUGUGGCCCGGCGGAUGGCAUCCGACUCUUCAAUGCACUGAAAGGCCGGGUGAGCAGGGUGCAUUGGUGUGGAGAUGUACCCUGGUUUCCCCCGUCCCCUGUGCAGGGUGGUGCGCCCACGUCUGACGGUGUACGUGUGCCAGGAGUCCCAGCAGGCCCGCGAGGAGCAGCAGAAGCAGGAGAACGGAGACGCAGCCAGCAGCACCUUCUUCGUGUACCACGCCAUUUACCUGGAGGACCUGACGGCCGUGGAGCUGACGGAGAAGAUCGCACAGCUCUUUAAUAUUUCACCGCGACAAAUCAGCCAGAUCUUCAAGCAGGGCCCCACCGGCAUCCACGUGCUCGUCAGUGAUGAGAUGAUACAGAAUUUCCAGGAUGAGUCCUGUUUUGUUCUGGACACAAUGAAAGCGGAGACUAACGACGGCUACCACAUCAUCCUGAAGUGAGGUGUCACUGAACAGAAUUACACGGGCAGGGCUCGAUAACAGGGAAAGAUGAACAAAACAAAAAAACGAAGCAAAUCGCUGACCCUCGCUGCUUUAGCUCAACCUGCCACCCUCUUCCGGCUGCCACUCCAAUCCCUCCCUCAUGGAGCCCUUAACCGCACUGAAGGUCGUCCAGUUACCUUGCUGGGACACAUUUGGAAUUCUCAAGCGGAUGUCCCAGAGGGACGGUGGAAAUGAAGAUGUACCAGACCUUUUAAUUUGUUUUUAUACUGUUUAACCUUGUCUUAUUUUAAAGAUGUUGGUGUGAUUGUGCUGCCAAGCCCCUCCCCUUCAACUCUGCCUUUGUUAGUAUUUUUUCCCCGUUCUUUGUAUUAUCCUGUGCGCUCUUAAAGAAACGUACUGCCCGGAUCCCCUUGACCAAUCCUGCUUCAUCCAAUGUCUGGUUUGUCAAAGUUUGCAAUCCUCGUGAAGUGUGUUAUGGAGAUUAUAUCACGUGGUUGAACCUUUAUGUGGUUUUUAAGCCUCCUUGUUCAUAUUAAUUGGGCGAGUCUCCGUUUUCUUUCUGGCUUUGCGCAUCUUCAUUGGGUUAAGAGCAGGCUGGCAGUGAUGGGGGACAGUGGUUAGCCACGUGCUGAUACAGAGCAGUGUCUCUCAGGAGCCUGUGGGGGGCGACACUGCACACAGCCUGUUUCUGAGCUAGCAUCAGCGGGGUGAAGUCUGUAGUCUUGAACUAAAACCACUGUGAAGCCUGAUCGUUUUUACUUUUGCGACCGGGGGGGUUUGGGUGGGGACUGGGCAAGGGUGGGUGCUGAGGAGCCCUCGAUCUCUACUAACGUGUGCUAACGGAAGUAAACGGGACUUGCGCUGACUGGGGAGAUCUCAUGUUUUUAUUGUCCAGGUGGGUGAUGUGGAUCUAGUUGUGAUGUGAACACUCGCUCACUGACAGAUCUGCAGAAAGGACUGCUUCAUGCGGGAUGGGGUCUGUGCUGUCCAUGGCUAAUGCCAGUGCUUUCCUGUUCCUGUGUUUGUCUGCCCCCUUACCCCCAUGCCAUCCAUACAUACCCCCCACACCCCUUGAAAAGUGUCCCCCAUCUACUUCGGUUUUCAUUUUUUAACUCAUUUUUUAAUGUGUUUUUGAAAGUCUUCUGCCAGGGGUGACAUCACGUGAUUAUCUUUUUUUUUUUUUUUUUUUUUUUCUGGUAGUAUUUUAACAACAUUCACCUCUAUUGACCCCCAUUUUUAAUCUGUAUUGUUGUCUUGGCCGUUUCAAAAUGGAGAGAGGUAUGCAGCCUUGGAACUUCGCCUCUGCGGACAAAUGUGCACUAAAGUGCUGUGCAGCGAGCAGCAGGUCAGAGAGGAAGCCCCGGGUGUCUCAGCCCCUUACAGGUGAGCUGUAUUCCUGCAGGGAGUGAGCCCAGCUCGCGCUCCCUCUCUCUUCGAGCUCCCAGCAGCCCUGCUGUCUCAGCGCAGUGCUUAUACAGCCACCAUGGAGACGCUGAGAGCAGGUCUAUUUCUAAUAUUUCUGCCAUGUUAUAUUAAAAAAACCCAAAAAAAACAUGUCAUUGUCUUAAUUGUCAAAAUCAAACAUAAUUGGGCAAAAAAAAAUGUGGGUCAAAAAAAAUUUGGUGAGCAUGUGAACUUGUUCAUUAUCCUUUUUUCUGAAAGUAAGACCUUUAAUGAUGUUCCCCAUUUGCAGAGACUAAUGAAAUUUGGAGCUGUUGGCAUCCCGAUGCUGGCCCUUCAUGAGCAGAGAUAGUAACAGUGUUUGCCAAUCCGCUGUCUAAGAUGGAAUUAUUGAAUUAUUAUUAUAGUCCGUCUGUGGCCCCUUACCCAUGAGGAUUAAACCGCGUAAAUCGCACACAA